CGCGUAGGUGGUUGUAUAAGUUAGAUGUGAAAUCCCUGGGCUUAACCUAGGAACUGCAUCUAGAACUGUAUGACUAGAGUAUUGUAGAGGGUAGUGGAAUUUCCGGUGUAGCGGUGAAAUGCGUAGAGAUCGGAAGGAACACCAGUGGCGAAGGCGGCUACCUGGACAAAUACUGACACUGAGGCGCGAAAGCGUGGGGAGCAAACAGGAUUAGAUACCCUGGUAGUCCACGCUGUAAACGAUGAGAACUAGAUGUUGGUAGGCUUGACCUAUUAGUAUCGAAGCUAACGCGAUAAGUUCUCCGCCUGGGGAGUACGGCCGCAAGGUUAAA
rnacentral:rRNA from 1 species